AUUUAUGUUUAACAAAGUCUUGUUGCUUUUUAGGUUGUGUCUUUGUGGCAGAGAUAAAGUGGUGUAUUUAAGAUCAAAGAUGGGUCCACGUGUUAUCAGAUUUCUGUUGUAUUGUAGCGUAAAAAGGUUGUGUUCAAGUGACAAAGUUCAAGAUCAAAGAAACAGAUCACGGGUGAAUGUGUUUUUCAAAUAUGGAAUAUUAAAUGGUUACCAUGGAAACGUACGCUUGCAUCUAAGUAGUGGUAUCAAUGGAUGACGGACGUCCAGAUGUACAGUUAUACAGCAGAUGUUGUGGCAUAUAGGGUGUGUAUAUUUACUUUUCCGUUCUUUAGGCCACACUGUGAUAUGUUUGUUUCUGUUUAUACACAUACAUUUCUGUAUCUAUACACUCAAUAGGGCUACCAUGGAGACGUACCUCCACAUCUAGGCAGUGGUGCAAAUGGAAAACAGACAUUCAGAUCUACAAAGUUGUAUGGCAGAUUCUGGAGUACAAAAAGUGAGUAUAUUUACUUUUCCUUUCUUGUUGCCACACUAUAGAUAUAUUUAUUUCUGUUCUUACACAUGCA